rnacentral:lncRNA from 1 species
GCUGGCCAUUAUUUUUUCCCCUGAAUCAUAUACCUAGAAAGCUGGAGAAUGGGAGGUUUCUUGAGUUAAUAGUAAAAAUCAUAAUUCGAAUUCAUGGUUGGGAAAGUCCUUUAUAAGCAUUAUCCCAGUCAAGCUUCCAAUUUCUCCUCUUCCUGACGUCUGGAGUCAGGCAGGACAAGGCUGAUCCCUUCUCCCCUAAUAGCCCCUCACACACUGAAGACAGCCAUCAUAAGCCCUGAAUUGCCCUCUCUUCCCCCCUUCCCACUUCCCAAAGAAGGAGUGGGAAAGCCAAAUUGUGGGAGGACUGACUGGCUGGGAUCGGUGGGCAGCCGCUUCUCUCCAGUUCCUCAGAUGCAGCCUCUCACCCUCUCACCCCAGAUGAGGAAACUGAGAUUCAAAGAGGGAAGGUGAUUUCCCCCAGGUCCCCCAGAAGAGCUGGACUUCACACUCAAGCUUCCUGCAAGAAAGAACAGUUCUUGAAUCAGCUGGUGUACGUGCUAAAGAAGAACAUCAAGGUUCCAUAGGGAUAUGGCUUAAUCCAGUACUUGCCACCAUGAUGCCUCCCGAGACUAUCUCUCCUAAUGAGGUUGUAAGCAGGACCCAGGACCCUGUAGGAUACCUGCCUUCCCCAAAGGGGAAAGGCUUCCCUGUCUUAUCUUCCAUACAUUCCUGCUGUGUUGGAUGAAGUCUAUGGGAUGUAAAUGGAAGUAUAUGGGAUGAGCUAGAAGGCUCCAAGGAACAAGAUCUGGAUUAGAAUGAACCUGUCAGGAACAGAAGUGCAGCCAUCCCUUUGAGAAGAACUGGUUCAACUCUUCCCAGAAAAGUGGGGAAGGACUUCAGUUCCCCGGGAAAUUAAUUGGCUCUUCUGGCUGGGAAUCACCAUUGUUAUCACCAACAAUAUCAGAGAGAGUCAUUAAAUACUGGAUCAAGGAAGGCCUUGAGCCAUCAUCCUGUCUAGACCCUUCCUUUCACAGCUGAAGAAAGAAGCCUGAGGCCCAGAGAGUCCCCAAGCUCAUGCAGCCAAUUAACUGACUUCUGGGAUGGGGUUCUGCCAAUUAUUCCACAUUGCCUC